CAGGAUGAACGCUAGCGACAAGGCCUAACACAUAGCAAGCAGGGGCAGCACAAGGAGCAAUCUGAGGUGGCGACCGGCGCACGGGUGAGUAACACGUAUGCAACCUGCCUGUAAGCGGGGAAUAACCCGUUGAAAGACGGACUAAUACCGCAUAAUACUAAAUUACUGCAUGGUAAUUUAUUUAAACAUUUAUGGCUUACAGAUGGGCAUGCGCAUGAUUAGCUAGUUGGAGAGGUAACGGCUCCCCAAGGCAACGAUCAUUAGGGGUUCUGAGAGGAAGGUCCCCCCACACUGGUACUGAGACACGGACCAGACUCCUACGGGAGGCAGCAGUGAGGAAUAUUGGUCAAUGGACGAGAGUCUGAACCAGCCAAGUCGCGUGCAGGAAGAAUUGUCCUAUGGAUUGUAAACUGCUUUUGCAGGGGAAUAAAGUGCAUCACGUGUGAUGUUUUGUAUGUACUCUGCGAAUAAGGAUCGGCUAACUCCGUGCCAGCCGCCGC
rnacentral:rRNA from 1 species